rnacentral:rRNA from 1 species
UACAGAGGGGGCAAGCGUUGUUCGGAAUUACUGGGCGUAAAGGGCGCGUAGGCGGCCUUCUAAGUCGAACGUGAAAUCCCCGGGCUCAACCCGGGAACUGCGUCCGAUACUGGAAGGCUUGAAUCCGGGAGAGGGAUGCGGAAUUCCAGGUGUAGCGGUGAAAUGCGUAGAUAUCUGGAGGAACACCGAUUGCGAAGGCAGCCCGCUGGAACGUUACUGACGCUGAGACGCGAAAGCGUGGGGAGCAAACAGG